UACGAAGGGGGCUAGCGUUGCUCGGAAUUACUGGGCGUAAAGGGCGCGUAGGCGGGUCGUUUAGUUAGAGGUGAAAGCCCAGGGCUCAACCCUGGAAUUGCCUUUAAUACUGGCGGCCUUGAGUAUGGCAGAGGUGUGUGGAACUCCGAGUGUAGAGGUGAAAUUCGUAGAUAUUCGGAAGAACACCAGUGGCGAAGGCGACACACUGGGCCAUUACUGACGCUGAGGCGCGAAAGCGUGGGGAGCAAACAGG
rnacentral:rRNA from 3 species